rnacentral:rRNA from 1 species
CCUACGGGUGGCAGCAGUGAGGAAUAUUGGUCAAUGGACGCAAGUCUGAACCAGCCAUGUCGCGUGCAGGAAGACGGCCCUACGAGUUGUAAACUGCUUUUGUACGAGGGUAAAGGCAGAUACGUGUAUCUGUUUGAAAGUACCGUAUGAAUAAGGAUCGGCUAACUCUGUGCCAGCAGCCGCGGUAAUACGGAGGAUUCGAGCGUUAUCCGGAUUUAUUGGGUUUAAAGGGUGCGUAGGCGGUUGGUUAAGUUAGAUGUGAAAUUUUGCGGCUCAACCGCGAAAUUGCAAUUGAUACUGGUAGGCUUGAGUACAGUUGAGGUAGGCGGAAUGUGUGGUGUAGCGGUGAAAUGCUUAGAGAUCACGAAGAACUCCGAUUGCGAAGGCAGCUUACUAAACUGCUACUGACAUUGAUGCACGAAAGCGUGGGUAUCAAACAGGAUUAGAUACCCGGGUAGUC